AUGGCCGGAAACGACACAAGAGAACCCCAAAAAAUGCCGCCCAAAUCUCGAUCGUUGACCCCAACCGUGACCUUUUCAAUAAUUUGGGGUCACUCCCUGGUGGAGUCCGGGGGCGACCUCAAGGCCCCGGGGGAGUCCCUGCGGCUCCUCUGCCGCGCCUCCGGCUUCACCUUCGGUGACUACGGAAUGUUCUGGGUGCGCCAGAGCCCCGGGAAGGGGCUGGAAUACGUCGCCGAUAUCGACGAUGAUGGUGACACCUUCUACGCGCCGUCGGUGCGGGGCCGGUUCACCAUCGCCAGGGACAACGGGCAGAGCUCGGUGACGCUGCAGAUGAACAACCUCAGGGAGGAGGAUUCCGCCACCUAUUUCUGCGCCAAACGUGACAGUGCUGCUGGUGGUGAUGUUUAUGGUAACGACCCCCUUGGUGUCCCCAAACCCCAGACCCUCCCCCCAAACCUCCACCCUUCGCACCCAGCUCUCGGUCGUUGGUCCCGACCUUGGGCUGGUUUUGCCCCAAAUCUCAACUCCUUGUCCCAAACCUCAACCAUUGACCUGAAUCGGAACCAUUGA